rnacentral:rRNA from 1 species
UACGUAGGGGGCAAGCGUUGUCCGGAUUUAUUGGGCGUAAAGAGCUCGUAGGUGGUUCGGUAAGUCGGAUGUGAAAUCUCCAGGCUCAACCUGGAGGGGUCAUUCGAUACUGCCGUGACUAGAGUUCGGUAGGGGAGUGUGGAAUUCCUGGUGGAGCGGUGAAAUGCGCAGAUAUCAGGAGGAACGCCCGUAGCGAAGGCGGCUCUCUGGGCCGAUACUGACACUGAGGAGCGAAAGCGUGGGGAGCGAACAGG